rnacentral:rRNA from 1 species
AUUGAACGCUGGCGGCAGGCCUAACACAUGCAAGUCGAGCGCGCGGCGCGCGGGUGCGUAUUGUCUGUGAAACUGCCUGAUGUCGAGGGAUAACUCCUGUAAACGGUAUCUAAUACCGCAUAUCCUCAUAUCUGCCCAGGUGGGAUUCGCUGGUCGGUGGGGUAACGGCUCACCUAGGCGACGAUCCGUAGCUGGUCUGAGAGGAUGACCAGCCACACUGGAACUGAGACACGGUCCAGAUUCCUACGGGAGGCAGAAGUGGGGAAUAUUGCGCAAGGGGCGAAAGCCGGAUGCAGCCAUGCCGCGUGUGUGAAGAAGGCCUUCGGUUUGUAAAGCACUUUCAGCGGGGAGGCGGUACCUGAAGAAGAAGCAACGGCUAACUCCGUGCCAGCAGCCGCGGUAAUAC